UAUACUGUCUGUAGGUCUGUAAUUUACUGUGUUAGAUCUCAUUAAGGGCUAUAAUAUAUACUGUCUGUAGGUCUGUAAUUUACUGUGUUAGAUCUCAUUAAGGGCUAUAAUAUAUACUGUCUGUAGGUCUGUAAUUUACUGUGUUAGAUCUCAUUAAGGGCUAUAAUAUAUACUGUCUGUAGGUCUGUAAUUUACUGUGUUAGACCUCAUUAAGGGCUAUAAUAUAUACUGUCUGUAGGUCUGUAAUUUACUGUGUUAGAUCUCAUUAAGGGCUAUAAUAUAUACUGUCUGUAGGUCUGUAAUUUACUGUGUUAGAUCUCAUUAAGGGCUAUAAUAUAUACUGUCUGUAGGUCUGUAAUUUACUGUGUUAGAUCUCAUUAAGGGCUAU